GAGUUUGAUCAUGGCUCAGAUUGAACGCUGGCGGCAUGCCUUACACAUGCAAGUCGAACGGCAGCACGGGAGCUUGCUCCUGGUGGCGAGUGGCGAACGGGUGAGUAAUGCCUAGGAAUCUGCCUGGUAGUGGGGGACAACGUUUCGAAAGGAACGCUAAUACCGCAUACGUCCUACGGGAGAAAGCAGGGGACCUUCGGGCCUUGCGCUAUCAGAUGAGCCUAGGUCGGAUUAGCUAGUUGGUGGGGUAAUGGCUCACCAAGGCGACGAUCCGUAACUGGUCUGAGAGGAUGAUCAGUCACACUGGAACUGAGACACGGUCCAGACUCCUACGGGAGGCAGCAGUGGGGAAUAUUGGACAAUGGGCGAAAGCCUGAUCCAGCCAUGCCGCGUGUGUGAAGAAGGUCUUCGGAUUGUAAAGCACUUUAAGUUGGGAGGAAGGGCAGUAAGUUAAUACCUUGCUGUUUUGACGUUACCGACAGAAUAAGCACCGGCUAACUCUGUGCCAGCCG
rnacentral:rRNA from 1 species